rnacentral:rRNA from 1 species
AACGAACGCUGGCGGCAUGCCUAACACAUGCAAGUCGAACGAGACCUUCGGGUCUAGUGGCGCACGGGUGCGUAACGCGUGGGAACCUGCCCUUAGGUUCGGAAUAACUCCCCGAAAGGGGUGCUAAUACCGGAUAAUGUCUUCGGACCAAAGAUUUAUCGCCUUUGGAUGGGCCCGCGUUGGAUUAGCUAGUUGGUAGGGUAAAAGCCUACCAAGGCGACGAUCCAUAGCUGGUCUGAGAGGAUGAUCAGCCACACUGGGACUGAGACACGGCCCAGACCGCGGCGGGGGGAAGAGGGGGGGGUUAUGGGAAGUUGGGAGAAACCUUGACCGAGCAGUGCGGCGUGGGGGAUGGAGUGCUUAGGGUUGUAAAGCUCUUUUACGAGGGAGAAGAAUGACAGGACGGAGAGAAUAAGCCCGGGCCACCGCGGGGCCAGCGGCGGGGGGAAGAGCAAACUUCUGAUC